rnacentral:rRNA from 1 species
GAUGAACGCUGGCGGCGUGCCUAAUACAUGCCAGUCGAGCGAACAGACGAGGAGCUUGCCCCUCUGACGUUAGCGGCGGACGGGUGAGUAACACGUGGAUAACCUACCUAUAAGACUGGGAUAACUUCGGGAAACCGGAGCUAAUACCGGAUAAUAUAUUGAACCGCAUGGUUCAAUAGUGAAAGACGGUUUUGCUGUCACUUAUAGAUGGAUCCGCGCCGCAUUAGCUAGUUGGUAAGGUAACGGCUUACCAAGGCGACGAUGCGUAGCCGACCUGAGAGGGUGAUCGGCCACACUGGAACUGAGACACGGUCCAGACUCCUACGGGAGGCAGCAGUAGGGAAUCUUCCGCAAUGGGCGAAAGCCUGACGGAGCAACGCCGCGUGAGUGAUGAAGGUCUUCGGAUCGUAAAACUCUGUUAUUAGGGAAGAACAAAUGUGUAAGUAACUAUGCACGUCUUGACGGUACCUAAUCAGAAAGCCACGGCUAACUACGUG